UUAAGUUAAUAAGGGCGCACGGUGGAUGCCUUGGCACUAGAAGCCGAUGAAGGACGUGACUAACGACGAAAUGCUUUGGGGAGCUGUAAGUGAGCAAUGAUCCAGAGAUGUCCGAAUGGGGGAACCCGGCAGGUAAUGCCUGUCACUCAUUACUGUUAAGGUAAUGUAGAGGAAGACGCAGUGAACUGAAACAUCUAAGUAGCUGUAGGAAGAGAAAGCAAAAGCGAUUGCCUUAGUAGCGGCGAGCGAAACGGCAAGAGGGCAAACCGAAGAGUUUACUCUUCGGGGUUGUAGGACUGCAACGUGGACUUAAAGAUUAUAGAAGAACUACCUGGGAAGGUAGGCCAAAGAGAGUAAUAGCCUCGUAUUCGAAAUAGUCUUUAUACCUAGCAGUAUCCUGAGUACGGCGAGACACGAGAAAUCUCGUCGGAAUCUGGGAGGACCAUCUCCCAACCCUAAAUACUCUCUAGUGACCGAUAGUGAACCAGUACCGUGAGGGAAAGGUGAAAAGCACCCCGGGAGGGGAGUGAAAUAGAACCUGAAACCGUGUGCCUACAACAAGUUCGAGCCCGUUAAUGGGUGAGAGCGUGCCUUUUGUAGAAUGAACCGGCGAGUUACGAUAUGAUGCGAGGUUAAGUUGAAGAGACGGAGCCGUAGGGAAACCGAGUCUUAAUAGGGCGCAUUAGUAUCAUGUCGUAGACCCGAAACCAUGUGACCUACCCAUGAGCAGGUUGAAGGUGAGGUAAAACUCACUGGAGGACCGAACCAGGGCACGUUGAAAAGUGCUUGGAUGACUUGUGGGUAGCGGAGAAAUUCCAAACGAACUUGGAGAUAGCUGGUUCUCUCCGAAAUAGCUUUAGGGCUAGCGUCGAUGUUAAGUCUCUUGGAGGUAGAGCACUGUUUGGGUGAGGGGUCCAUCCCGGAUUACCAAUCUCAGAUAAACUCCGAAUGCCAAUGAGAUAUAAUCGGCAGUCAGACUGCGAGUGCUAAGAUCCGUAGUCGAAAGGGAAACAGCCCAGACCACCAGCUAAGGUCCCAAAAUAUAUGUUAAGUGGAAAAGGAUGUGGGGUUGCACAGACAACUAGGAUGUUAGCUUAGAAGCAGCUAUUCAUUCAAAGAGUGCGUAAUAGCUCACUAGUCGAGUGACCCUGCGCCGAAAAUGUACCGGGGCUAAAACAUAUUACCGAAGCUGUGGAUACCUUUAUAGGUAUGGUAGGAGAGCGUUCUAUGUGCGAAGAAGGUGUACCGUGAGGAGUGCUGGAGCGCAUAGAAGUGAGAAUGCCGGUAUGAGUAGCGAAAGACAGGUGAGAAUCCUGUCCACCGUAAGACUAAGGUUUCCAGGGGAAGGCUCGUCCGCCCUGGGUUAGUCGGGACCUAAGGAGAGACCGAAAGGUGUAUCCGAUGGACAACAGGUUGAUAUUCCUGUACUAGAGUAUAUAGUGAUGGAGGGACGCAGUAGGCUAACUAAACCAGACGAUUGGAAGUGUCUGGCCAAGCAGUGAGGUGUGAUAUGAGUCAAAUGCUUAUAUCUUUAACAUUGAGCUGUGAUGGGGAGCGAAGUUUAGUAGCGAAGUUAGUGAUGUCACACUGCCGAGAAAAGCUUCUAGCGUUAAUUAUACUCUACCCGUACCGCAAACCGACACAGGUAGUCGAGGCGAGUAGCCUCAGGUGAGCGAGAGAACUCUCGUUAAGGAACUCGGCAAAAUGGCCCCGUAACUUCGGGAGAAGGGGCGCUGACUGAUGGUCAGCCGCAGUGAAUAGGCCCAAGCAACUGUUUAUCAAAAACACAGCUCUCUGCUAAAUCGUAAGAUGAUGUAUAGGGGGUGACGCCUGCCCGGUGCUGGAAGGUUAAGAGGAGUGCUUAGCGUAAGCGAAGGCAUGAAUUGAAGCCCCAGUAAACGGCGGCCGUAACUAUAACGGUCCUAAGGUAGCGAAAUUCCUUGUCGGGUAAGUUCCGACCCGCACGAAAGGCGUAAUGAUUUGGGCACUGUCUCAACGAGAGACUCGGUGAAAUUUUAGUACCUGUGAAGAUGCAGGUUACCCGCGACAGGACGGAAAGACCCCAUGGAGCUUUACUGCAGUUUGAUAUUGAGUAUCUGUACCACAUGUACAGGAUAGGUAGGAGCCUAUGACCUCGGGACGCCAGUUUCGAGUGAGGCGUUGUUGGGAUACUACCCUUGUGUUAUGGCUACUCUAACCCAGAUAGGUUAUCCCUAUCGGAGACAGUGUCUGACGGGCAGUUUGACUGGGGCGGUCGCCUCCUAAAAGGUAACGGAGGCGCCCAAAGGUUCCCUCAGAAUGGUUGGAAAUCAUUCGCAGAGUGUAAAGGUAUAAGGGAGCUUGACUGCGAGAGCUACAACUCGAGCAGGGACGAAAGUCGGGCUUAGUGAUCCGGUGGUUCCGUAUGGAAGGGCCAUCGCUCAACGGAUAAAAGCUACCCUGGGGAUAACAGGCUUAUCUCCCCCAAGAGUUCACAUCGACGGGGAGGUUUGGCACCUCGAUGUCGGCUCGUCGCAUCCUGGGGCUG
rnacentral:rRNA from 1 species